ACUGAAGCUAGAGGAACCAUGGGUUAUAUUGCACCAGAAGUUUUAUCCAGCAACUUUGGAAAAGCGUCUCAUAAAUCUGAUGUCUAUAGCUUUGGAAUGAUGCUACUUGAAAUGGUUGGAGGAAGGACUAUCCAGCAACUUCGGAAAAGCGUCUCAUAAAUCUGAUGUCUAUAGCUUUGGAAUGAUGCUACUUGAAAUGGUUGGAGGAAGGAAGAAUUUUGACGCAAAGGCCAGUAAUAGCCAAGUGAACUUUCCUGAGUGGAUUCAUCAACAGCUGAAUGAAGGAGAAGAGUUGAAAAUCAGG
rnacentral:lncRNA from 1 species